rnacentral:rRNA from 1 species
UACGAAGGGGGCUAGCGUUGCUCGGAAUUACUGGGCGUAAAGGGCGCGUAGGCGGAUAGUUUAGUCAGAGGUGAAAGCCCAGGGCUCAACCUUGGAAUUGCCUUUGAUACUGGCCAUCUUGAGUUCGGGAGAGGUGAGUGGAAUGCCGAGUGUAGAGGUGAAAUUCGUAGAUAUUCGGCGGAACACCAGUGGCGAAGGCGACUCACUGGCCCGAUACUGACGCUGAGGCGCGAAAGCGUGGGGAGCAAACAGG